GUGACCAUAGUUCAGCGGUAGAGCCCCGGAUUGUGGUUCCGGUUGUCGUGGGUUCGAAUCCCACUGGUCACC
rnacentral:tRNA from 1 species